UACGGAGAGUGCAAGCAUUAAUCGGAAUUAUUGGGCGUAAAGGGCGCGUAGGCGGAUAUAUAAGUCAGAUGUGAAAUUCCGAAGCUCAACUUCGGAGCUGCAUUUGAAACUAUAAAUCUCGAGGAUUGACGGAGAAAACGGAAUUCCACGUGUAGCGGUGAAAUGCGUAGAUAUGUGGAGGAACACCUGUGGCGAAAGCAGUUUUCUAGUUAAUACCUGACGCUGAGGCGCGAGAGCAAGGGGAGCAAACAGG
rnacentral:rRNA from 1 species